GCCGGGGUAGCCUAGCCCGGUAAGGCGGCAGAUUUGAGAUCUGUUUCUCCGAAAGGAGAUCAGGGGUUCAAAUCCUCUCCCCGGCG
rnacentral:tRNA from 1 species